GACGAACGCUGGCGGCGUGCUUAACACAUGCAAGUCGAACGGAAAGGCCCUGCUUUUGUGGGGUGCUCGAGUGGCGAACGGGUGAGUAACACGUGAGUAACCUGCCCUUGACUUUGGGACAACUUCAGGAAACUGGGGCUAAUACCGGAUAGGAGCUCCUGCUGCAUGGUGGGGGUUGGAAAGUUUCGGCGGUUGGGGAUGGACUCGCGGCUUAUCAGCUUGUUGGUGGGGUAGUGGCUUACCAAGGCUUUGACGGGUAGCCGGCCUGGGAGGGUGGCCGGCCACAUUGGGACUGAGAUGCGGCCCAGACUCGUACGGGAGGCAGCAGUGGGGAAUAUUGCACUAUGGGCGGAAGCCUGAUGCAGCAACGCCGCGUGCGGGAUGACGGCCUUCGGGUUGUAAACCGCUUUCGCCUGUGACGAAGCGUGAGUGACGGUAAUGGGUAAAGAAGCACCGGCUAACUACGUG
rnacentral:rRNA from 1 species